rnacentral:rRNA from 1 species
CCUACGGGAGGCAGCAGUGGGGGAUAUUGCACAAUGGGGGAAACCCUGAUGCAGCGACGCCGCGUGUGGGAAGACGUUCCUCUGGAUUGUAAACCACUGUCCCCAGGGACGAAGAUGACGGUACCCGGGGAGGAAACUCCGGCUAACUACGGGCCGGCGACCGCGGUAAUACGUUGGGAGCAAGCGUUGUCCGGAAUUACUGGGUGUAAAGGGAGCGUAGGCGGGAUGGCAAGUUGGGGUGUAAAUCUACCGGCUCAACUGGUAGUCGCACUCGAAACUGCUAUUCUUGAGUGAAGUAGAGGUAGGCGGAAUUCCUAGUGUAGCGGUGAAAUGCGUAGAUAUUAGGAGGAACACCAGUGGCGAAGGCGGCCUGCUGGACUUUUACUGACGCUGAGGCUCGAAAGUGUGGGGAGCAAACAGGAUUAGAUACCCUAGUAGUC